rnacentral:rRNA from 1 species
UACGAAGGGUGCAAGCGUUACUCGGAAUUACUGGGCGUAAAGCGUGCGUAGGUGGUUCGUUAAGUCUGAUGUGAAAGCCCUGGGCUCAACCUGGGAAUGGCAUUGGAAACUGGCGACCUAGAGUGCGGUAGAGGGUAGUGGAAUUCCCGGUGUAGCAGUGAAAUGCGUAGAGAUCGGGAGGAACAUCCGUGGCGAAGGCGACUACCUGGACCAGCACUGACACUGAGGCACGAAAGCGUAGGGAGCAAACAGG